AUUGAACGCUGGCGGCAUGCCUUACACAUGCAAGUCGAACGGUAACAGGUCUUCGGAUGCUGACGAGUGGCGAACGGGUGAGUAAUACAUCGGAACGUGCCUAGUAGUGGGGGAUAACUACUCGAAAGAGUGGCUAAUACCGCAUGAGAUCUACGGAUGAAAGCAGGGGAUCGCAAGACCUUGUGCUACUAGAGCGGCCGAUGGCAGAUUAGGUAGUUGGUGGGAUAAAAGCUUACCAAGCCGACGAUCUGUAGCUGGUCUGAGAGGACGAUCGGCCACACUGGGACUGAGACACGGCCCAGACUCCUACGGGAGGCAGCAGUGGGGAAUUUUGGACAAUGGGCGCAAGCCUGAUCCAGCAAUGCCGCGUGCAGGAUGAAGGCCUUCGGGUUGUAAACUGCUUUUGUACGGAACGAAAAGCCCUGGAUUAAUACCCUGGGGUCAUGACGGUACCGUAAGAAUAAGCACCGGCUAACUACGUGCCAGCAGCCGCAGUAAGAC
rnacentral:rRNA from 1 species